AGUGAACGCUGGCGGCAGGCCUAACACAUGCAAGUCGAACGGCAGCACAGAGGAGCUUGCUCCUUGGGUGGCGAGUGGCGGACGGGUGAGGAAUGCAUCGGAAUCUGCCUAUUUGUGGGGGAUAACGUAGGGAAACUUACGCUAAUACCGCAUACGUCCUACGGGAGAAAGUGGGGGACCUUCGGGCCUCACGCAGAUAGAUGAACCGAUGCCGGAUUAGCUAGUUGGCGGGGUAAAGGCCCACCAAGGCGACGAUCCGUAGCUGGUCUGAGAGGAUGAUCAGCCACACUGGAACUGAGACACGGUCCAGACUCCUACGGGAGGCAGCAGUGGGGAAUAUUGGACAAUGGGCGCAAGCCUGAUCCAGCCAUGCCGCGUGUGUGAAGAAGGCCUUCGGGUUGUAAAGCACUUUUGUCCGGAAAGAAAAGCGCUCGAUUAAUACUCGGGUGUUAUGACGGUACCGGAAGAAUAAGCACCGGCUAACUUCGUGCCAGCAGCCGCGGUAAGAC
rnacentral:rRNA from 1 species